GAUGAACGCUAGCUACAGGCUUAACACAUGCAAGUCGAGGGGCAGCAUGAACAUAGCUUGCUAUGUUUGAUGGCGACCGGCGCACGGGUGCGUAACACGUAUCCCAAUCUACCCAUGGCUCGGGGGAUAGCCUUUCGAAAGAAAGAUUUAAUACCCCGAUGGUCUCGGUUUAAGGCAUCUUAGACUGAGUAAAGAUUUAUCGGCGAUGGAUGAGGAUGCGUCUGAUUAGGUAGAUGGCGGGGUAACGGCCCACCCAUGGCGACGAUCAGUAGCCGGUCUGAGAGGAUGAACGGCCACAUUGGGGACUGAGAUACGGCCCAGACUCCUACGGGAGGCAGCAGUGGGGGAAUAUUGGGCAAUGGGGGAAACCCUGACCCAGCAACGCCGCGUGGAGGAAGAA
rnacentral:rRNA from 1 species